rnacentral:rRNA from 1 species
UAAUACCUGAUAAGCCCACGAAGACUUCGGUUUUGCGGGAAAAGAGGGGGACCUUCGGGCCUCUUGUCAUCAGAUGAGUCCGCGUACCAUUAGCUAGUUGGUGGGGUAAAGGCCUACCAAGGCGACGAUGGUUAGCUGGUCUGAGAGGAUGAUCAGCCACACUGGAACUGAGACACGGUCCAGACUCCUACGGGAGGCAGCAGUGGGGAAUUUUGCGCAAUGGGGGAAACCCUGACGCAGCAACGCCGCGUGAGUGAUGAAGGCCUUCGGGUCGUAAAGCUCUGUCUAGAGGAAAGAAGUGUGGGGCGGCUAAUACCCGUUUCACUUGACGGUACCUCUGAAGGAAGCACCGGCUAACUCCGUGCCAGCAGCCGCGGUAAUACGGAGGGUGCGAGCGUUGUUCGGAAUUAUUGGGCGUAAAGCGCGUGUAGGCGGUUUCUUAAGUCUGAUGUGAAAGCCCCGGGCCUAACCUGGGAAGUGCAUUGGAUACUGGGAGACUUGAGUACGGGAGAGGGUAGUGGAAUUCCUAGUGUAGGAGUGAAAUCCGUAGAUAUUAGGAGGAACACCGGUGGCGAAGGCGGCUGCCUGGACCGAUACUGACGCUGAGACGCGAAAGCGUGGGUAGCAAACAGGAUUAGAUACCCUGGUAGUCCACGCCGUAAACGAUGAGUACUAGGUGUUGCGGGUA